CUGAGAGGGCGGCCAGCCACAUUGGGACUGAGACACGGCCCAAACUCCUACGGGAGGCAGCAGUGGGGAAUCUUCUGCAAUGGGCGCAAGCCUGACAGAGCGGCGUCGUGUGAAGGAAGAAGGCCUGAAAUAGGUUGUAAACUUCUUUUACUGAGUAAUGAAUAAUGACAACGCAGUAAAAAAGUAUCGGCUAACUCCGUGCCAGCAGCCGCGGUAAUACGGGGGAUGCAAGCGUUAUCCGGAAUCACUGGGCGUAAAGCGUCUGUAGGUGGUUUAGUGUGUUCUUAGUUAAAUUAUGAAGCUUAACUUCAUGAAAAGUAAGAAAACUAUUAGACUUGAGUACGAUAGGGGUAAGAGGAAUUCUUCGAGAAGUAGUGAAAUGCGAAGAUACGAAGGAGAAGAUCAUAAGCGAAGGCUUCUUACUGGGUCGUAACUGACACUGAGAGACGAAAGCUAGGGGAGCGAAUGGGAUUAGAUACCCUGGUAG
rnacentral:rRNA from 1 species